rnacentral:rRNA from 1 species
AUUGAACGCUGGCGGCAGGCCUAACACAUGCAAGUCGAGCGGAGCGGCGGACGGGUGAGUAAUGCCUAGGAAUCUGCCUGGUAGAGGGGGAUAACUUCCGGAAACGGGCGCUAAUACCGCAUACUAUCAGAUGAGCCGAGAUCGGAUUAGCUAGUUGGUGGGGUAAAGGCCUACCAAGGCGACGAUCCGUAACUGGGAUGAGAGGAUGAUCAGUCACACUGGAACUGAGACAGGUCCCAGAUUCCUACGGGAGGCAGAAGUGGGGAAUAUGGGACAAUGGGCGAAAGCCUGAUCCAGCCAUGCCGCGGGUGUGAUGAAGGUCUUCGGAUUGUAAAGCACUUGAAGUUGGGAAGCGUUACCAACAGAAUAAGCACCGGCUAACUUCGUGCCAGCAGCCGCGGUAAUUC